rnacentral:siRNA from 1 species
UCUAUUAGAGUUUCUUGUGCA